AAAGAAAAUCGUAUUUCUUUCUCUCUCCCCGUGCUCUCACUCACCGCGUCUCUCUCUCUCCCUUCGCUCCCUUUCUCAGCCGGCAACUUCGCCGGUCCUCGCCUCCUCCGGCCGCGAGGCCGGCCCCUCUUCUUCCCUCCUUCUCUCCUUCCCUUUCUCUUCCCUAAAUUCUCAAAUCAGAAAUAGAGCUAGGGCUUCUUCUCACUUUCCCCUCUGAAUUUCACCCCCUCCGGCAAGCCCGUCACCGCCGCUGCCGUCCCCGUCGUGCCGUCGUCCCCUCUGUCUCAGGAAUCGUUGAUUCAAGAUAUCUCCACGUGACAACUCUCCUACAUCGCUGCUCUGUUCAAGACUCUACCUUUCUUCCUUUCUUUUUAUUUAUCUGGUUGCAAUAUCAGCUGUUGAAAAUUAGGAUUUUGAGUGCUGUUAUAAAUUGCGUUUCUAUCUA